GACGACCGAGCACAGUGGAUUAGCGUGUCUGACUUCGGAUCAGAAGUCGCGGGUUCGACUCCCACUGUGGUCA
rnacentral:tRNA from 1 species